rnacentral:lncRNA from 1 species
UGGGAACAUAGACGAGUCUGUAAAAUAUGGCCCUCAUUUAGUCGCCCAAAUGACAGCUGCUCUAUUUUAAAAACUUUACCUCAACUGUAAUGGUUGGGAGUCUGAAAAAAUCUUAAUUUUGCUUUUGAAUCACUUUAGACUGCAUCCCUAUUUUACUUAUGGGAGUCAUUUACUGACUUCUACUUGAUUUCUUCUGUCAGUCUUAUGCUGAAGGGGUUCCUGAGCACGAACUGCAGAUAGGCUGGGGCAGAGUUUUGUUCAUGUAUGAACUGAUUUCUCCUGCUAUUGCUUGAAAUUAUGACAGCAAACUUCCUCAUCUCAAUGAGACUUUUUUUUCUGUUUUUUCUUUUCUUUUGCGGAGUGGUCUGAAAUGAUUAGAUCCAUGGGAAUGGAAGCUUUCAGAAGGAGGAAGGUGCAGUGUGGUAACUUCUCCCUUGCUUGAGUGGGGAAGUUGGAGAGUGGCAGACAUGUUGGCAUGGGAGACUGAGAAAACUGCAGUAAAAAUAGCAGCUUAGGACCCUCGCUCCAAUAAAUCUAUGGCUGGGUUUGAACCAACUGGAGUUAAAGGCAGGAAUAAGUUCUGCAUUCACAUCCUGCAUCAGAGGCAUUCCUGCAUCGAGAGUGAAGCUGGACAAUGCAGGUUACCAUAUGCCAGCAGUAUUGGUGGAUGUGAGGAAUAGGAUGCUCUUUCUUCGCCCAUUUCAUUUUAUAAACCUUUCCUUUGUUACUAAUUAGUCCAGUGGCCUCAGGACAAGGCAAGGGCAAGGAGGGGAUUUUAUUUUGCCUAGGGCAUAAUGUCAAGACUUAUGGGCUCUUCUGCUUGAAUGAAGAAGUGAAAAUAGAUCGUAUUGUGGGGCUGCUCCCUUCACAGUCAGCUUUGCAGAGCACAGAGCUCCUCCACCAUGAAAACAAAUCUCUGUUUUACAGAUGGAUGCCCAUCUGCUUUCAGUGGCAGACAAUGCAAUGAGCUGCACUUGAGGUGCAAGGUGUUUGUUUCCCCCAAGCGGAUGCUUAGUUAGUGUCUCAUUCUGCAUGGUUCUCACACAAAGAAAAACCACCCUGUAGUCAGAGGUCCAAAAUUAACUUCUCCUUAAAAGCCUGAAGAAGCAAAGAGAUUAAAAAAUAUGUGGGUCAGAGUAACCCUCUCAAAAUGAAGUGACUGAUACUGAGUGCUGAGAAUGAACUUUCUUAUCCCAUUUCCAGACAAAAAAAAAAAAGAGAGAGAAAGAAAGAAAGUUCCCUCUAGGCUCUGGUUUUAAAUGGACUGUUUGCAGUGGAGUUCAGAUCCAAAGCCAUCUAUUCUGAACAACUGUCUCAAUUAUGCUAUGUCAAAAGGAAAGCCUUUGUAAGAUUCCAGCACAAAAUGAAAUGAAUGAUGAUAGCCAAUUGAGCCAGGUAAAAUCGAAAGGGGAAAUUAAUGUGAUGAUGGUAAGAGAGACAGAAAUAAAAGCAAAAUAAACUCAGAAUAUUUUCUGAAA